rnacentral:rRNA from 1 species
GACGAACGCUGGCGGCGUGCCUAAUACAUGCAAGUUGAGCGCUGAAGGUUGGUACUUGUACCAACUGGAUGAGCAGCGAACGGGUGAGUAACGCGUGGGUAAUCUGCCUUUGAGCGGGGGACAACAUUUGGAAACGAAUGCUAAUACCGCAUAAAAACUUUAAACACAAGUUUUAAGUUUGAAAGAUGCAAUUGCCUCACUCAAAGAUGAUCCCGCGUUUUAUUAGCUAGUUGGUGAGGUAAAGGCUCACCAAGGCGAUGAUACAUAGCCUACCUGAGAGGGUGAUCGGCCAAAUUGGGACUGGGACCAGGCCCAAGACUCUAAGGGAGGCAGCAGGAGGGAAUCUUCGGCCAUGGACGAAAGUCUGAACGAGCAACGACGCGGGAGUGGAGAAGGGUCUCGGAUCGGAAAACUCUGUUGGUAGGGAAGAAAGUUGGUGAGAGUGGAAAGCUCAUCAAGUGACGGUAACUACACAGAAAGGGACGGCUAACUACGUG